UCUCCGUAGGUGAACCUGCGGAGGGAUCAUUACAGAGUACUCGCCCUCGCGGGUCUAUCUCCCACCCACUGUUAUCGUUACUGUGUUGCUUUGGCGGGCCGCCGGGCCCCGCUCGGCCGCCGGCUCCGGCUGGCGCGCGCCCGCCAGAGGCCCAGCAAACACUGAAUGUUAGUGUCGUCUGAGUACUAUAUAAUAGUUAAAACUUUCAACAACGGAUCUCUUGGUUCUG
rnacentral:misc_RNA from 1 species